rnacentral:rRNA from 1 species
CCUACGGGAGGCAGCAGUGGGGAAUAUUGCACAAUGGGGGAAACCCUGAUGCAGCGACGCCGCGUGAGUGAAGAAGUAAUUCGUUAUGUAAAGCUCUAUCAGCAGGGAAGAAAAUGACGGUACCUUAAUAAGAAGCCCCGGCUAACUACGUUCCAGCAGCCGCGGGAAUACGUAGGGGGCAAGCGUUAUCCGGAUUUACUGGGUGGAAAGGGAGCGUAGACGGCAGUGCAAGUUUGGAGUGAAAGGCCGGGGCUCAACCCCCGGACUGCUCUGGAAACUGUACGGCUGGAGGGCUGGAGAGGUAGGUGGAAUUCCUAGUGUAGCGGUGAAAUGCGUAGAUAUUAGGAGGAACACCAGUGGCGAAGGCGGCUUACUGGACUGUAACUGACGUUGAGGCUCGAAAGCGUGGGGAGCAAACAGGAUUAGAUACCCCUGUAGUC